UACGUAGGGUGCAAGCGUUGUCCGGAAUUAUUGGGCGUAAAGAGCUCGUAGGCGGUUUGUCGCGUCUGCUGUAGAAACUCGGGGCUUAACCCCGGGCCUGCAGUGGGUACGGGCAGACUAGAGUGCGGUAGGGGAGACUGGAAUUCCUGGUGUAGCGGUGAAAUGCGCAGAUAUCAGGAGGAACACCGGUGGCGAAGGCGACACCCUGGACUCAUACUGACACUGAGGUGCGAAAGCGUGGGGAGCAAACAGG
rnacentral:rRNA from 1 species